AUUUAACGGCCGCGGUACCCUAACCGUGCGAAGGUAGCAUAAUCACUUGUUCUUUAAAUGAGGACUCGUAUCAACGGCAUCACGAGGAUCCUACUGUCUCCCCCCUCUAAUCGGUGAAACUGAUCUCUCCGUGAAGAAGCGGAGAUGUACAUAUAAGACGAGAAGACCCCAUGGAGCUUUAAACCCAACAACACCCGCCCCCCUCCAAAUCCUAUUAUGUGCCCGGUGACUGUUUGUUCGGUUUUAGGUUGGGGUGACCGCGGAGUAUAAGAUAUCCUCCAUGAAAAAAAGCUAACUGCCCUUAUUAGAGAAAGACACUUCCAAAAAAUAAUAAAUUAAUUUUAAAUGAUCCGACAUUCGAUCAACGAACCAAGUUACCCUGGGGAUAACAGCGCAAUCCGUCCCGAGAGC
rnacentral:rRNA from 1 species